rnacentral:lncRNA from 1 species
CUUUGGGAGGCCGAGGCGGGCGGAUCACGAGGUCAGGAGAUCGAGACCAUCCUGGCUAACAUGCUGAAACCCCGUCUCUACUAAAAAUACAAAAAAUUAGCUGGGCGUGGUGUUGUGCGCCUGUAGUUCCAGCUACUCAGGAGGCUGAGGCAGGAGAAUGGCGUGAACCCAGGACGCGGAGCUUGCAGUGAGCCGAGAUCACGCCACUGCACUCGAGCACUCCAGCCUGGGCGACAGAGCUCGACUCUGUCUCAAAAAAAAUAACAACAACAACAACAAAAAA